AACUGCAGGAAGGCUUCGUCCGGACUCCUACGGGAGCCGGACUCCGUCCUCGACCUCGACUGUGGGAAGGCUUCACCCGGACUCCUACGGGAGCCGAGCUCCGCCCACGACUUCACUUACAGGUAAACUCCAUUCGGACUCCUACGGGAGUCGGACUUCAUCCCUGACUUUAAUUGCAGGUAAACUCCGCACAAGCUCC
rnacentral:lncRNA from 1 species